rnacentral:sRNA from 2 species
UUUUUUGUCUUCUAGGGUUCCGCCAUAAGGGUCUGGUCCGAGAGAAGACAGCGGUUUAUUUGGAACCGUACACGGAGGGAUAAAAGCCCGGGAGGU